GUAACCCAGGUCUCUUUGGGGCCAAGUGUGGGGCCGCCUUCAGCCCUGGCCUUACUGGGUCUCUCCAAAGCCUUCCUCGCUGUCACCCGCUCCCUCCAUCUUGGAACUCUCUCCCCUGCUUCCCUCCUGCCUGCCUGGCUGUUCCUUGCUCCCUUUCCCCCCACAGAAUGUUGCGGUGUGUCUGGGUCUGCUCCCAGCCCCCUGCCUAUCUCACACAACCCUCCUCGGUUCCUCAGCAGAAAACAAUCCCAGUGCCCUUACUGAAAUAUCGGAGGGAGCCCUUGUAGGCUGGCGGUGAAGUGUAGACACUGGUUCAAAUCCUGGCUUCUCCACUUCCCAGCUGUGUGACCUUAGGCGGCUGAGUUGCGGCACUCAGGAUCUUCGAUCUUCAUUGCAGCAUGUGCAAUUUUUAGUUGCGGCGUGCGGGAUCUAGUUCUCUGACCAGGGAUCGAACCCGGGACGCCUGCAGUGGGAACACGGAGUCUUAGCCACUGGACCACCAGAGAGCUUCUUUAUGGAACAUCAAUACGAACUGGGAACGAGAAGCAUCAUCGUAGCUGCCGUUUCUCAAGCAGGGAGGGUCCUGGGCUCCACAGAAUGACCCUACUGUCUCCUGGGAGCCGCCCUGGGGGCCUCUCUUGUCACCCAUUUGGCAGAGGAGGAAGCCUCACCCGUGGCAGAACCAUUCAGACCCUGGACCGGUCUGUGCCUCUGUGGUAUCUAGGCUCAAGCAGAGGCUGGUCUCCCAAAGAAACGCCACCCAGGGGCUUCCCCGCCCCCACCGUGGGUCACCUGAACCAGCUGCUGACCAAGUCCCCACGCCUGCAGGGCAGCAAGGGAGUGAGGAACAGGGGUGGGCAGUCCUUGAGUAAGUAACUGCAGUCAGCCCCUGCUUCAGGCAGCACACUGCUCCUCUCAGGGCCCUCCAAUUCAUAUGCUCUGAUUCCCACACCAUCUCCUUGAGGUUGGCACUAUGGUGGUGGGCACGGCACAGGUGAGGAAACAGCCCAGGCAGGGGACAAAGCUUGCCCAGACCUGCAGAGCUGGGAUUCACCUUGAGAGUUCCUGACACUUGUUCUCCUGUCCUCUCUCCAUCUGUAUGAAAGAGUGAAGGCCGUAGCUAACAGAAUGUUUGGAUCCCCCAAAAUUGAUGUGCUGAAACCUAACCCCCCAGUGUGAGGGUAUUUAGAGGUGGGGCCUUUGGGAGGUGAUGAGGUCUUCCAGCGUGAAGCCCUCAAGAAUGGGAUACUGCCCUUUAAAAGAGGCCCCCGGGAGAUCCCUCCCUUGUCUCUUCUACCUUGUAUUGUGGUUCAGUGUCCGACUCUCUGUGACCCCAUGGACUGCAGCACACCAGGCUUCCCUGUCCUUCACCAUCUCCCGGAGGGUGCUCAAGCUCAUGUCCGUUGUGUUGAUGAUACCAUCCACCUUGUGAGGUUAUACCAAAAAGAUGGCCGAACCAGGAAGUGGGCUCUUACCAGACACUGAAUCUGGCAGCACCUUGAUCCUGGACUUUUCAACCUCCAGAACUGUGAGAAAAAGGUCUUUUGUUCAAAGCCACCCCACCCCCUCCACCAGCCUGCGAUAUUCUGUUAUAGCAGCAUGAAUUGGACUAAGUGGCUAAGGCAGCCACUUUCCCUAUGUGCUUAUACUGUUGAUCCUUCCAUCUGUCUAUCCACUCAUCCAUCCAUGCAUCCAUGUACCC
ensembl:lncRNA